rnacentral:rRNA from 1 species
GAUGAACGCUGGCGGCGUGCCUAAUACAUGCAAGUCGAGCGAACAGACGAGGAGCUUUCUCCUCUGACGUUAGCGGCGGACGGGUGAGUAACACGUGGAUAACCUACCUAUAAGACUUGGAUAACUUCGGGAAACCGGAGCUAAUACCGGAUAAUAUAUUGAACCGCAUGGUUCAAUAGUGAAAGACGGUUUUGCUGUCACUUAUAGAUGGAUCCGCGCCGCAUUAGCUAGUUGGUAAGGUAACGGCUUACCAAGGCAACGAUGCGUAGCCGACCUGAGAGGGUGAUCGGCCACACUGGAACUGAGACACGGUCCAGACUCCUACGGGAGGCAGCAGUAGGGAAUCUUCCGCAAUGGGCGAAAGCCUGACGGAGCAACGCCGCGUGAGUGAUGAAGGUCUUCGGAUCGUAAAACUCUGUUAUUAGGGAAGAACAAAUGUGUAAGUAACUAUGCACGUCUUGACGGUACCUAAUCAGAAAGCAACGGCUAACUACGUG